rnacentral:rRNA from 1 species
CCUGCCAAUGAUUAUUGAAUGGCCGCGGUACUCUUACCGUGCGAAGGUAGCAUAAUCACUUGUUCAUUAAAUGUGGACUAGAAUGAACGGCACCACGAGGGUUAUACUGUCUCCCUACUCUAAUCAAUGAAACUAUUCUUCCCGUGAAGAAACGGGAAUUUUUAUAUAAGACGAGAAGACCCCAUGGAGCUUUAAACCCAGAACAUCUACUAAUUCCUUUUCCAACCAAAUAUAUAGUACUUAUGCCCCUGGUUUUCGGUUGGGGCGACCACGGAGUAAAUAAUAACCUCCAUGAUGAACAAAUUAUACUUUUACCUAAGAACCACAUUUCUAAGGACCAUCAAUAUGACAUUUCUUGACCCAAGUUUACUUGAUCAACGAACCUAGUUACCCUGGGGAUAACAGCGCAAUCCAUUUCAAGAGCUCAUAUCGACAAAUGGGUUUACGACCUCGAUGUUGGAUCAGGGUAUCCCAGUGGUGCAGCCGCUACUAAAGGUUUGUUUGUUCAACAAUUAAUAACCCU